GGGAUUUCUCCUUACUGGAUGGUGUCUUUAUGGAAGUGACGAAGGAUCUAAUCUUGGUCACCUUUUCCGGCUGGGCUUUGUGACAAGCCUGAGUUUCUGCCAUGCCUCUCCCGCUGUUUUCCAGCCUUGGUUCUUAAUCCUCCUGUGCGACUGUUUGCUACAUUACUGGCCUGUUUUUCUUCUGAAUUUGAAGAAUUUGCUUACAAGCUCUUUGAUACGAGUGAGGUGUUGUGUUUUUCUGCUGUUUUAGUUGAGCCUCCCAUGAUUCAUUUGUUGGAGAUGGUAGUUUCAUUCUUUGCUUUGGCUGCUGCAGAUUCGGAUUCGGGUCAUGCACCCGUUUGUAGUCCUA
rnacentral:misc_RNA from 1 species